rnacentral:rRNA from 1 species
AACGAACGCUGGCGGCAGGCUUAACACAUGCAAGUCGAGCGCCCCGCAAGGGGAGCGGCAGACGGGUGAGUAACGCGUGGGAACGUACCCUUUGCUACGGAAUAGCUCCGGGAAACUGGAAUGAAUACCGUAUGUGCCCUACGGGGGAAAGAUUUAUCGGCAAAGGAUCGGCCCGCGUUGGAUUAGCUAGUUGGUGGGGUAAUGGCCUACCAAGGCGACGAUCCAUAGCUGGUCUGAGAGGAUGAUCAGCCACAUUGGGACUGAGACACGGCCCAAACUCCUACGGGAGGCAGCAGUGGGGAAUAUUGGACAAUGGGCGCAAGCCUGAUCCAGCCAUGCCGCGUGAGUGAUGAAGGCCUUAGGGUUGUAAAGCUCUUUUACCCGGGAUGAUAGUGACAGUACCGGGAGAAUAAGCUCCGGCUAACUCCGUGCCAGCCGCCGCCGUAAUAC